rnacentral:rRNA from 1 species
AUUGAACGCUGGCGGCAUGCUUUACACAUGCAAGUCGAACGGUAACAGGCCGCAAGGUGCUGACGAGUGGCGCACGUGUGAGUAAUGCAUCGGAACGUGCCCAGUCUUGGGGGAUAACUACUCGAAAGAGUAGCUAAUACCUCAUACGAUCUAUGGAUGAUAGCGGGGGACCGUAAGGCCUCGCGCGCUUGGAGCGGCCGAUGUCAGAUUAGGUAGUUGGUGGGGUAAAGGCUCACCAAGCCAACGAUCUGUAGCUGUUCUGAGAGGACGACCAGCCACACUGGGAAUGAGACACGGCCCAGAAUCCUACGGGAGGCAGCAGUGGGGAAUUUUGGACAAUGGGCGCAAGCCUGAUCCAGCAAUGCCGCGUGCAGGAAGAAGGCCUUCGGGUUGUAAACUGCUUUUGUACGGAACGAAACGGCUCUGGUUAAUACCCGGGGAUAAUGACGGUACCGUAAGAAUAAGCACCGGCUAACUACGUG